AGUUUGUAAAAAAAAAGCCAAAAGUUUACAAAAAAAUUUCUCAAUAUAAAAGAAACACAGUGAAACGUAGGUUGUUUGAAAAACCUGUAGCUAUUGUUAAACCCUAGGUUCCAGAGAAUACAUACAAAAAUCAACAAAUUUACAUUCCUCAAGUGGUUGAAGCAAGACCUCUCGAGAGGGAAGAUGAAGAAAUGUACCAAAAUGAACUUGAUUAUUUUGAUGAUAUACCAGAAAUAGAUGACGAUCAAGUACGAAUAAUAGAUGUCAUUAUGAACAGAUUAUUAGAAAGAGGUGAGAACGAGUUUGGUACGCCACGUCGUUUAUUAUGUUUUGGUAUCUUAUGGAAUCAAUCAAGUUGGAAAAUUUAAAAAAAAAUGUUUGUAUCAUUUUAUUUUAUUAA
rnacentral:lncRNA from 1 species